GACGGAGGGUGCAAGCGUUGUUCGGAUUGACUGGGCGUAAAGGGCGUGUAGGCGGUUUGUCAAGUCGGGUGUGAAAGCCUGGGGCUCAGCCCCAGAAGUGCAUCCGAAACUAGCGAGCUAGAGCGCGAUAGUGGAGGGUGGAAUUCCUGGUGUAGCGGUGAAAUGCGUAGAUAUCAGGAGGAACACCGGCGGCGAGGGCGGCUCGCUGGAUCACAACUGACGCUGAGGGACGAAAGCUAGGGGAGCAAACGGG
rnacentral:rRNA from 1 species